UAUUUUUCAAAGUUCAGGACUUUGUAUUAACAUCUGAACUCCAUCAGAAAGCUGUAAUAAGCCUCAGCAGAGCUGAGAAAUGUUACAUUCAAGAAGCAAAGAGAAAUUGGAAAGAGAAUGGCAGCUGAAAUGUAAAGACAAAAAAAAAAAACACAAAAGAAAGAAGUCAAGAACCAUGGAAUGAAAAUGUGGAAUAAAAGGAAAGGUUCAGCAGGCAAGUCCUGAAUUUGGUUUCCUGUCCCACAAUUCCAGGUUUGCCACUUCUGGGAAC